AGUGAACGCUGGCGGUAGGCCUAACACAUGCAAGUCGAACGGCAGCACAGUAAGAGCUUGCUCUUACGGGUGGCGAGUGGCGGACGGGUGAGGAAUACAUCGGAAUCUACUUUUUCGUGGGGGAUAACGUAGGGAAACUUACGCUAAUACCGCAUACGACCUACGGGCGAAAGCAAGGGAUCUUCGGACCUUGCGCGAUUGAAUGAGCCGAUGUCGGAUUAGCUAGUUGGCGGGGUAAAGGCCCACCAAGGCGACGAUCCGUAGCUGGUCUGAGAGGAUGAUCAGCCACACUGGAACUGAGACACGGUCCAGACUCCUACGGGAGGCAGCAGUGGGGAAUAUUGGACAAUGGGCGCAAGCCUGAUCCAGCCAUACCGCGUGGGUGAAGAAGGCCUUCGGGUUGUAAAGCCCUUUUGUUGGGAAAGAAAAGCAGCAGGUUAAUACCCCGCUGUUCUGACGGUACCCAAAGAAUAAGCACCGGCUAACUUCGUG
rnacentral:rRNA from 1 species